rnacentral:rRNA from 1 species
CGCUCCUUGAUUUUAAUUAAUAAGGAGUCGGACCUGCCCAGUGAUAAGUAUUUAACGGCCGCGGUACUCUGACCGUGCAAAGGUAGCAUAAUCAUUUGCCCUAUAAUUGAGGGCUAGUAUGAAUGGUUUGACAAGAACAAUACUGUCUCUUUCAAAAUUUGUAGAAUUUAUUCUUUAGGUGAAGAAACCUAAAUAAAAUUAAAAGACAAGAAGACCCUAUCGAGCUUAAACUCUUUUUAUAAAAUAAAAAAAAUUAAUAAUAUUUUUUGUUAUAAAAAAUUUUGGUUGGGGCGACUAAGGAACAAAAAAAGCUUCUUUAUUUAAUAAAGACAAAUGUGUAUCGAUCCAUAAAAUCUUGAUUAAAAGAAUUAGUUACCGUAGGGAUAACAGCAUAAUCUUUUUUAAGAGUUCUUAUCGAAAAAAAGGUUUGUGACCUCGAUGUUGGACUAAAAUUUCCUAAUAGAUGCAGACGUCUUUAAGGG